UACGUAGGGUCCAAGCGUUAUCCGGAAUCACUGGGCGUAAAGCGUGCGUAGGCGGCGUGUUAAGUGUGAUGUUAAAUCGUGGGGCUCAACCCUGUCGGUGCAUCACAUACUGGCAUGCUAGAGGAAGGCAGAGGCAAGUGGAAUUUGUAGUGUAGCAGUGAAAUGCGUAGAUAUUACAAGGAACACCAAUGGCGAAGGCAGCUUGCUGGGCCUUUUCUGACGCUGAGGUACGAAAGCGUGGGGAGCGAACAGG
rnacentral:rRNA from 1 species